GAUGAACGCUGGCGGCGUGCCUAAUACAUGCAAGUCGAGCGAACGGACGAGAAGCUUGCUUCUCUGAUGUUAGCGGCGGACGGGUGAGUAACACGUGGAUAACCUACCUAUAAGACUGGGAUAACUUCGGGAAACCGGAGCUAAUACCGGAUAAUAUUUUGAACCGCAUGGUUCAAAAGUGAAAGACGGUCUUGCUGUCACUUAUAGAUGGAUCCGCGCUGCAUUAGCUAGUUGGUAAGGUAACGGCUUACCAAGGCAACGAUGCAUAGCCGACCUGAGAGGGUGGUCGGCCAGACUGGAACUGAGACACGGUCCAGACUCCUACGGGAGGCAGCAGUAGGGAAUCUUCCGCAAUGGGCGAAAGCCUGACGGAGCAACGCCGCGUGAGUGAUGAAGGUCUUCGGAUCGUAAAACUCUGUUAUUAGGGAAGAACAUAUGUGUAAGUAACUGUGCACAUCUUGACGGUACCUAAUCAGAAAGCCACGGCUAACUACGUG
rnacentral:rRNA from 1 species